AGAGCGAACGCUGGCGGCAGGCCUAAUACAUGCAAGUCGAACGGACCCUUCGGGGUUAGUGGCGGACGGGUGAGUAACACGUGGGAACGUGCCCUUUGGUUCGGAACAACUCAGGGAAACUUGAGCUAAUACCGAAUGUGCCCCCAUCCUUAAACAAGAUGGGUGGGAAAGAUUUAUCGCCAUUGGAGCGGCCCGCGUCUGAUUAGCUAGUUGGUGAGGUAAAGGCUCACCAAGGCGACGAUCAGUAGCUGGUCUGAGAGGAUGAUCAGCCACACUGGGACUGAGACACGGCCCAGACUCCUACGGGAGGCAGCAGUAGGGAAUCUUGCGCAAUGGGCGAAAGCCUGACGCAGCCAUGCCGCGUGAAUGAUGAAGGUCUUAGGAUUGUAAAAUUCUUUCAGCGGGGACGAUAAUGACGGUACCGCAGAAGAAGCCCCGGCUAACUUCGCGCCAGCAGCCGC
rnacentral:rRNA from 1 species